rnacentral:misc_RNA from 1 species
GGGUGCUUAGGCAUGCUUUGUCUAUUCUGAGAUGCCCUGCUUCCUUUACCCUACUCUUUCCUUUUGAUGCUUGUGUGAACCUGGGAUGGGUAUUUUAACUUAUAAAAUAUUUGAAUCUUUCUUAUUCCUCUUCUUUGUUCUACCUUAGCUUGUGUAGCCUAUGCGAAGCAAGCCUACAUACCUCUUCCUUUCUGGUAGAAGGAGCCCUCAUACCCACUCUCCUUCUCCACCCCAUACCUGAAUAGAUAUAGGGUGGCCUCGCCUUAGAAGGCUACAGAAGUGAUAAAGGUGAAGCCCACCUUUCCGGGCUCUUAGGAGUAAGCGGGCUAGCCCAUGAGCGAAGCGAGCAGAGUCAACAGAGUUCCUUACCACUAAACUAUAUUUGUUUGGGCAAGAUAAAUCUUUCGACUCCAGGCUAGAGAAAGAGAUAGACUUAGAUCUCUGCUAAUAGAAUCGUGAGAUCAGAACCAAACUAGGGGAAUCGGGGCUGAAAGCCUGGCAUGUGAAU